GAUUUACAAUUCAGUUAUACUUUUUCUUUUCUAUUUUUUCCGUUAUUCCCUAUGUUUAUCUAUGAGCUUCUUGUGUCAUGAAAAUUGAUUUGAGAUAUUUUGUUUUGUGUGAUAUCUGAUUUGUUCAUAUCUCAUGAAAGAGUCUAGUUUUAUCAAACACUAUAUUCUAUAAUCUCAUUGUUCAUGCUGUCAUAUAUAACUUUUUUUCCCUUUGUUAGGUCUCAAAGAUAAGAAGUGUGUGCCAUGCAAUCUGAAGGAACUACGACUGAUGACGAGGAUGCAGCACACACUUUGAUGCCACACAUUUAUUUGUAAUCAUCAUAAUCAUCAUCAUCAAAAUAAAGCUUUUUCAACUUAAAGUGUUUUGGAAAUUGACAUUUUCUGGUUAGGUUUCUGAGUGGAAUUUGGUAAAAGAAGAUGGCAUAUUUAAACUGAAGAGGACAUGGAAAGUAAAGACUUUCACCAAAGGCUUGGAAUUCUUCAAGAUAGUAGCUGACCUUGCUGAAAGUGAAGGUGAAAAACAUUACAAGAUGAUCGAACAAAUUAGAGAAGAAUUUUUUUUUUUUUUGGUUUUCAAAGGAUGAGAAGAAUAUGUACUAUAUUAGAGAAUAUUUUUGUUUUCACAAUAUAAUAUUUUGAUGUCUUUUGUAAUUU